rnacentral:lncRNA from 1 species
UGAUGGAUUGUGCAACUGCUUGCUCUCUGUCUAAAUCUCUCCCAUUCCGGAGACUUACUAUCAUCAGUUAAUUCAGGUUAUUCAGCUCGCAAUUUUCCUUGGGGCGGUUAUUUAAGGCCAUAAACAGCUGCCCAAAAUUGAGUUUCAAUGUUCUUUAUUGCUGAGUCAUGCACUGCCAACUUUUCUUGCAUCUUACUAUUUGUUCUAAUGAGUUGUUGAAUCAUACCCUUGAUUUCUACCAUGUUUCCAUAAUGUUGUUGCGGAGGUGGAUGAUAUGCCAACUGUGCUAGUUCUGCUGUGGAUAGCUCUAUUUUCUAUGAUACGACACCAUUUGUCCUUGGGGCUGCAUACCUUCAGGUUGUGGCAUGGUUGGUCUGUAUUGCUUAUUAGGUGCUGGUAUCCACUGUUGUCCUCCUUGUC